GUGUCAGCCGCCGCGGUAAUACGUAGGUGGCGAGCGUUGUCCGGAAUUACUGGGUGUAAAGGGCGUGUAGGCGGGAAGACAAGUCAGAUGUGAAAUACCGUGGCUUAACCACGGGGCUGCAUCUGAAACUGUUUUUCUUGAGUGUCGGAGAGGAAAGUGGAAUUCCCAGUGUAGCGGUGAAAUGCGUAGAUAUUGGGAGGAACACCAGUGGCGAAGGCGACUUUCUGGACGAUAACUGACGCUGAGGCGCGAAAGCGUGGGGAGCAAACAGGAUUAGAUACCCGCGUAGUCC
rnacentral:rRNA from 1 species